GUCCACGCCGUAAACGAUGAUUACUAGCUGUUUGUGAUAUUACAAUAAGCGGCUAAGCGAAAGCGAUAAGUAAUCCACCUGGGGAGUACGCCGGCAACGGUGAAACUCAAAGGAAUUGACGGGGCCCGCACAAGCGGAGGAACAUGUGGUUUAAUUCGAUGAUACGCGAGGAACCUUACCCGGGCUUGAAAUGCAUCUGACCGGCUUGGAAACAGGCCUUCUAGCAAUAGCAGAUGUGUAGGUGCUGCAUGGUUGUCGU
rnacentral:rRNA from 1 species